rnacentral:misc_RNA from 1 species
AAGUUCCGUAUUUUCUGAUCUGUCUUAUCUGCUUGUGGCACAUAACUACUUGUUAGGUUAAUUUUAUCCUCAUGUUAUAUAUGUUUCAAUUUCAGGGCGUCCCUAAUGUUCUACCCUUUUCUAUUUGCAUUUCAUCAUCAUAUAUAUGUUCCAGUUCGUUCAUUUUGGUUUCACUUAUGUUUGGGAAGGAUGAAAAGUUUUGAAAAGAUUCCGACUUUCCCUUGUUUGGAAAGGGAAGAAAUAAGAGGAUGGAAAAUAAGGGGAAGAGGUUCUGCCCUUGGGCCCACUAACAGGAUGAUAUUACCAUUUGAUACUAGUAUAAUUUUGUCCCUGGGAAAGAGUGAAGGGCCAUUUUGUAACUUUAUAUUGAAUAAAAUGAUGUUUU